rnacentral:rRNA from 1 species
UACGAGGGGGGCAAGCGUUGUUCGGAAUUAUUGGGCGUAAAGGGCGCGUAGGCGGUGCGGUAAGUCACCUGUGAAAACUCUGGGCUCAACUCAGAGCCUGCAGGCGAAACUGCCGUGCUUGAGUGUGGGAGAGGUGCGUGGAAUUCUCGGUGUAGCAGUGAAAUGCGUAGAUAUCGAGAGGAACACCGGUGGCGAAGGCGAGUCCCUGGACAACACCUGACACUGAGGCACGAAAGCUAGGGGAGCAAACAGG